CAGCCGCUAAUACCGCAUGAAGCAGCUGAGAGGCAUCUCUCUGGCUGCCAAAGAUUUAUCGCUCUGAGAUGAGCUCGCGUCUGAUUAGCUAGUUGGCGGGGUAACGGCCCACCAAGGCGACGAUCAGUAGCCGGACUGAGAGGUUGGCCGGCCACAUUGGGACUGAGACACGGCCCAGACUCCUACGGGAGGCAGCAGUGGGGAAUAUUGGGCAAUGGGCGCAAGCCUGACCCAGCAACGCCGCGUGAAGGAAGAAGGCUUUCGGGUUGUAAACUUCUUUUCUCAGGGACGAACAGAUGACGGUACCUGAGGAAUAAGCCACGGCUAACUACGUGCCAGCAGCCGCGGUAAUACGUAGGUGGCAAGCGUUAUCCGGAUUUACUGGGUGUAAAGGGCGUGUAGGCGGGGACGCAAGUCAGAUGUGAAAACCACGGGCUCAACCUGUGGCCUGCAUUUGAAACUGUGUUUCUUGAGUACUGGAGAGGCAGACGGAAUUCCUAGUGUAGCGGUGAAAUGCGUAGAUAUUAGGAGGAACACCAGUGGCGAAGGCGGUCUGCUGGACAGCAACUGACGCUGAGGCGCGAAAGCGUGGGGAGCAAGCAGGAUUAGAUACCCUGGUAGUCCACGCCGUAAACGAUGACUGCUAGGUGU
rnacentral:rRNA from 1 species